UCACACACACACACACUCGUCUCCCAUCUCUGUUCCCCGCUCCUCGACCCGCCGCCACUCACCUCCGCCGCCGUCCGGCCCUCCGCGCCGCCCAAGUUUCCGCCUCCGCGAACGCCAGUCGCGACCACGGGCUGCUCCGUCCAUGGCCCUCCUGUACCUCAUGCUCCUCCGCCGCUCGACGCCAGCAGGUCGCGACCAGAACUCUCCUCCGUCCCCUGCUCUUCCAAGCGCCUGCCCCCCCCCCCCCCCCCCCCCCCCCCCCCCCCCCCCCGCGCCGACCAUCAUCAAAGCUUACUCGCGAAUCGCGAACCGAGCGUUCCCCGCGGUCGAGCAUGAUUUCCUCCAGUCCGGCCUCUCCAGUAUCAAUUUUCAAGCUUUUCUCCGCCUCCUGCCGGCCCCCGCCUCUCCCGUGCAGCCCUGAUGCAGCCACCGCCGACUGGGUCCUCCUGGAGCCGCUGGCGUACGUCGCUGACCGCACCAACGCCACCACCGCCGAAGCCAUCUCGAGGACCGGCUACACCAUCCAGGCCACCUUCUGCGCCGCCGACCCGCCGGGUGUCUCCUGCGUUUGCAUCCACUGCCCGGGCAUCGAGGAGGCCGACUUCCCGGAGAGGCCCCGCAUAAUCUGCUCCCACAAGGACCUCCUCCUCCUCUGGGUCACCUUCAAAUUCGGCCCCUACGACGAGGAGGGGCUCCGCGAGUACUUCGUCUACAAAGCCGGAACCGGGCGGCCGUCACUCCACCUGCUCCCAGAUCCCCUUCCGUUCGUCGCCAGAGCCUGGGAGGUCGGCCUCGUGCCCCACGGCGACGACGGCCAUUUCUUGCUGGCCGCUCUCUGCUUAACACAGACCCCUUGGGUCUACGACCUGCAUCUCUUCUCGUCUACGACAUGGGCUUGGAGCACCAAGGUGGCAUCAGCAGACAUGCCAGACAAGGUAAAUUCUCGGACGCAACCAGAUGUGAUUCACAAGGUGAUUUCGCUUGGAGGAGGCACACUGGGCUGGGUUGAUCUUUGGAGGGGAAUUUUGCUCUGCAAUGUGCUCGACGAGGUGCCUGUGGUUCAGGUAAUCCGGCUGCCUAUGCUGAUGCCUGGCAAUAAGGGUGGUCUUAGAGUAUGUCCGUGGAACGUUCGUGACAUUGGGUGCAGCGAUGGCUUGAUUAAACUUGUUGAGGUGGAAACUUAUGAAAGACCGGUUGAUGAACCGGCGUAUCAUGAUGACAUGCUUGUAGUUUAUGAUUCAGAUCUUUUGGCAGAGCGGCCGGUGCGGGACAAUGUUGGUUGGAAGAUAAUAACAUGGUAUAGGAUGACUUCUUGGAACUAUUGGCGUAAGUAGUGCAUGCAUCAUGAUGAGGAAAUAUCUGUUGACCACUCCAGGCAUCAGAUCAGCGACGAAGGCGAAGAGUUAGCUUUGAAAAAUGUGUCUGCAUCUUUCCCUGUUCUGAGUUUAAACUGCCACUGUGAUGAUAAUGUUUACCUGCUGUGUAACUUGAAAUCUGACACUAGAAAGAUAUGGUUGGUCGCUGUUGACCUGAAGAUGAAGCAACUGAUAGAUCUGGCACCAUUUUCUAUCGGAGGAUAUUUCAGUCCAGCUUACCCAUGUCAGUUAUCCAAAUAUCUGAAAAAAGACGCUCUAGACAACUGAGGCAAAUAGGCUGGUGCUUAUGCAAGGGACACAGCUGAUGGAGCAGAUUGCACUGAAUGUCUUCGAUACUGCGAGAGGAUAGCGGCCGACUGCUCCAUUACUCCAUGGAAUGCCAUGCGAGCGUAGUUCUGAAUUUGUAGUUUAACCGUUUGUUUCGGCAGAUAUGUUGUGUUUCUUUUCUGCUGAAUCUGGUGUAGCUGGUGUUGAUUUCUAUUAACAACAAUCGGAGGGGGCCCUCUUUUCUUCAGAAAAGAAAAGCUAUUUCUGAGCUAACUCAUGUUUCUAAGAAUGCCAGCAUUACUAGUGUCUUAAUUCAAUGAUCAAAGAUACAUCCAUUGUUGAAAAGAAUCCGUGUUUAUGAUCUACAGGAAGAGGCUCUUGCUUUACAUGAAUUUUAUGCCAUGGAAACGAUCU